rnacentral:rRNA from 1 species
UACGUAGGGGGCAAGCGUUGUCCGGAAUUAUUGGGCGUAAAGCGCGCGCAGGCGGUCAUUUAAGUCUGGUGUUUAAUCCUGGGGCUCAACCCCAGUUCGCAUCGGAAACUGGAUGACUUGAGUGUAAGAGAGGAAAGUGGAAUUCCACGUGUAGCGGUGAAAUGCGUAGAUAUCAGGAGGAACACCUGUGGCGAAAGCGGCUCACUGGACCAUAACUGACGCUGAUGCACGAAAGCUAGGGGAGCAAACAGG